GCAAACGACACGACAAGCAGUUGGGCUGAAGUCGAAGGGGAAUUUUAAUGAGAUAAAUCAACCAUAAGGUCCUGCAUGACUAUUCUGCUUACUACUAAUCUGCAGCCGAGACCCUUAUGCCUUUAAAGGCUCACAUUCUGCAGAACAGGACUGGGCAGCUAGAGCAAGGUGCUACUGAGGGCCCAAACACUUUGAGCCCUAGACGAUGGACCCUGUUCUCUGGCAGAGUGGGCUGGCCUGGACUGUAGACUCCU